rnacentral:lncRNA from 1 species
GCAAGCCCUACAAGGAUCCAGAACCACACGACAGGCUUAUAGAAGUCCAGAUAUUCAAUAUCGGAUCCACCUGGAGACAAAACAAACAAUAAAGCUGAUGAUCCAAUUGCCAUCACUCUCAUGGUCUCUUUGGAACUCAGGAAUGAAAGACCAGUUUGUAUGGGCUCCUUGAAAUCCCAACAGAAGAAUUACUCUGCACUUGCCACUCUUAGCAACAGGGGUCUGCUUACUCAUAUGUCAAAUAAAAGUGUCUACAGAUUCUGUGGCCUCCCAAGUGCUUUUUAGCCCCAGAACACUGAGCACUGAGAGAGAACAGAAAGUGCCAUCGGGAAGGAGCAGAUACCAAUCACUAAGAUGGGGCCUCGCCCUGUUGCCCAGGAUGGAGUGCAGUGGCACCUUCAUAGCCCACCGCAGCAAGACCUCCUCCCACCUCAGCCUCCCAAAUAGCUAGGACUACAGCUGCAUGCC